rnacentral:rRNA from 1 species
AGCAGCCGCGGUAAUUCCAGCUCCAAUAGCGUAUAUUAAAGUUGUUGCAGUUAAAAAGCUCGUAGUUGAAUUUCGGGGUUAGUAGGUUGGUCAUGCCUCUGGUAUGUACUGGUCUCACUGAUUCCUCCUUCCUGAUGAGCCGUAAUGCCAUUAAUUUGGUGUUGCGGGGAAUUUGGACUGUUACUUUGAAAAAAAUUUAGAGUGUUUAAAGCAGGCUCACGCUUGAAUACAUUAGCAUGGAAUAAUGAAAUAGGACGUUUGAUUCUAUUUUGUUGGUUUCUAGGAUUGACGUAAUGAUUAAUAGGGAUAGUUGGGGGCAUUAGUAUUCAAUUGUCAGAGGUGAAAUUCUUGGAUUUAUUGAAGACUAACUACUGCGAAAGCAUUUGCCAAGGAUGUUUUCAUUAAUCAAGAACGAAAGUUAGGGGAUCGAAGACGAUCAGAUACCGUCGUAGUCUUAACCAUAAACUAUGCCGACUAGGGAUCGGAUGAUGUAAUUUUUUAAUGACUCAUUCGGCGCCUU